UACGUAGGGGCUAGCGUUGUCCGGAAUCAUUGGGCGUAAAGCGCGUGUAGGCGGUCCGGUAAGUCCGCUGUGAAAGUCGGGGGCUCAACCCUGGAAUGCCGGUGGAAACUGUCGGGCUCGAGUCCGGAAGAGGCGAGUGGAAUUCCUGGUGUAGCGGUGAAAUGGCGCAGAUAUCAGGAGGAACACCAAUGGCGAAGGCAGCUCGCUGGGACGGUACUGACGCUGAGACGCGAAAGCGUGGGGAGCAAACAGG
rnacentral:rRNA from 1 species